rnacentral:rRNA from 1 species
CUUCGUUGGUGAACCAGCGGAGGGAUCAUUACUGAGUUUACGCUCUAUAACCCUUUGUGAACAUACCUAUAACUGUUGCUUCGGCGGGUAGGGUCUCCGCGACCCUCCCGGCCUCCCGCCUCCGGGCGGGUCGGCGCCCGCCGGAGGAUAACCAAACUCUGAUUUAACGACGUUUCUUCUGAGUGGUACAAGCAAAUAAUCAAAACUUUUAACAACGGAUCUCUUGGUUCUGGCAUCGAUGAAGAACGCAGCGAAAUGCGAUAAGUAAUGUGAAUUGCAGAAUUCAGUGAAUCAUCGAAUCUUUGAACGCACAUUGCGCCCGCCAGCAUUCUGGCGGGCAUGCCUGUUCGAGCGUCAUUUCAACCCUCAAGCUCUGCUUGGUGUUGGGGCCCUACAGCUGAUGUAGGCCCUCAAAGGUAGUGGCGGACCCUCCCGGAGCCUCCUUUGCGUAGUAACUUUACGUCUCGCACUGGGAUCCGGAGGGACUCUUGCCGUAAAACCCCCCAAUUUUCCAAAGGUUGACCUCGGAUCAGGUAGGAAUACCCGCUGAACUUAAGCAUAUC